rnacentral:rRNA from 1 species
CAGUCGCCGCGGUAAUACGAAGGGGGCAAGCGUUGUCCGGAAUUAUUGGGCGUAAAGGGCUCGCAGGCGGUUUCUUAAGUCUGAUGUGAAAGCCCCCGGCUCAACCGGGGAGGGUCAUUGGAAACUGGGAAACUUGAGUGCAGAAGAGGAGAGUGGAAUUCCACGUGUAGCGGUGAAAUGCGUAGAGAUGUGGAGGAACACCAGUGGCGAAGGCGACUCUCUGGUCUGUAACUGACGCUGAGGAGCGAAAGCGUGGGGAGCGAACAGGAUUAGAUACCCCCGUAGUCCCUGUCUCUUAUAC